rnacentral:rRNA from 1 species
GAGGUUACUGCUAUCGAGGUUCGACUAAGCCAUGCGAGUCGAAUGUAGCAAUACAUGGCGUACUGCUCAGUAACACGUGGACAACCUACCCUUCGGACAGGGAUAAACCCGGGAAACUGGGUAUAAUCCCCGAUAGACCUGGGACGCUGGAAUGCCCCCAGAUCGAAAGCUCCGGCGCCGAAGGAUGGGUCUGCGGCCUAUCAGGUAGUAGUGGGUGUAGCGUACCUACUAGCCUACGACGGGUACGGGUUGUGAGAGCAAGAGCCCGGAGAUGGAUUCUGAGACACGAAUCCAGGCCCUACGGGGUGCAGCAGGCGCGAAAACUUUACAAUGCCGGCAACGGCGAUAAGGGAACCUCGAGUGCCAGGUUACAAAUCUGGCUGUCGCGAUGCCUAAAAAGCAUUGCAUAGCAAGGGCCGGGCAAGACCGGUGCCAGCCGCCGCGGUAACACCGGCGGCUCGAGUGGUAACCGUUAUUAUUGGGUCUAAAGGGUCUGUAGCCGGCCGG